AUAGAAUUUUGACUAGCAUUCACCAAGGAUGAACUGAAAGCAGGAUCUGUCUCACCAUACACUGAGAACUGUAGAAUAUGCAAGGCACAUGGAACUUAUUUUCUUACGUAUAAAAGCGUGUAUAUGCUCCUUAUACAUCUGUCCUAAUGCUUUCCAACAGUCCUCACUCUAAGCCUCACCAAGACCCAGAUGAGGAAACAAAGGCACAGAGGGAUAAACUCAGAGCAGGAAGACAGCAAGGAAUAGCAGUGAAAAGCAUGGUGCUUAAUCCAACCCCUUACUCACUGCUGAGACCUGGAAAUGUGUUCAUCAGCUACAAAACAGGAGAGAUGAUAACUCAUUAUGUAUAUGUGAUGAUAAACAGAGACAAUAUAUUGAAGAGCUUAUAUGAGUGGCAGACACGGGACAUGCUUCCCUGUGGCUGGCCAGCGUGUCAUCUUCUCCAUGUGUCCAGAGAAAAGCUUUGCAAAUCAACCUCUCGAUGAAUGAUGACGGCACCAGUGAAAUCAGGGGAGGCAGAAAAUCAUGUUAGUUUGGUUUAUAAUGCAAGAAGUUACAGAACACAGAGUGCUCAAAACUAAGAAUGUGCUAGUUGUAUAACAGGGUCCUUCUUGGGACUCAGCCAGGAUUCAAACUAUAAAGGAAAAUCGGGUGAGCAGGUGGGAUAGUCAAGUGAUUCUAUUUGCAUGAAUAAUUUUGUGAGAUGAUACCUUCUUGUCCAGGAACAUUGAGCAGUGCUCGUGCUGGGUGGAUUGUGAUGUGGAAACCCUGGGAGAUGUCACGUCUGACAUCAACUUUCUCCCAGGUGACAGCUGCACCCUCUAAAGGCUUCUCAAAUGACAGAGCUCAAUGAAUAUAGAAGGGAAAAGUAUGAGGAUGACCUAUGAGCACAGGGUGGACAGUCUCUGCGGUGGGCAGGCAUUAGCAAAGGAGAGACCUUCUGUAUUAUGCAGAGUGGAAUUUUCCAGAGGCUACAUGAUGAGUGACGUCACGACAGAUUGAGUACAGAGCCAACUAUGAGAAUCCAGCUGCCUUCUAUUAAGGUACCCUUUCUGUGGAUACCUUCAAGUUCCAGCACCAAAUAUGAAGGCGACUGCCAUCACCAGCUCCCACCCCUACAUGAGGUCAAAUCCCUGGAUGGCAUAUAACACACUAGAGCAAUUAAGAGGAUCUAACUAAAGGUGGGGAAGGAAAAAUGUGUGUACAGAGACAGGAAGUCAUGGACACAGUUAUAUUGAAAGAUACAAUGACCUCCUCCUCCUCCUCAUUGUGAUAUUAUCACGCCUUUCCACACUUGGGCUUCUGAGAUUGUUACACUGGAAGUCUGCCCUAACUACAGGGUCACAUGUAGAACUGCGUCCACAAAGAGGCAGAUUGAUUGUG
ensembl:lncRNA